rnacentral:rRNA from 1 species
GAGUUUGAUCCUGGCUCAGAUUGAACGCUGGCGGCAUGCCUUACACAUGCAAGUCGAACGGUAACGCGGGGCAACCUGGCGACGAGUGGCGAACGGGUGAGUAACGCAUCGGAACGUGCCCAGUAGUGGGGGAUAGCCCGGCGAAAGCCGGAUUAAUACCGCAUACGACCUAAGGGUGAAAGCGGGGGAUCGCAAGACCUUGCGCUAUUGGAGCGGCCGAUGUCAGAUUAGGUAGUUGGUGGGGUAAAGGCCUACCAAGCCUGCGAUCUGUAGCUGGUCUGAGAGGGCGACCAGCCACACUGGGACUGAGACACGGCCCAGACUCCUACGGGAGGCAGCAGUGGGGAAUUUUGGACAAUGGGGGAAACCUUUCUCCAGCCAUGCCGCGUGCGGGAAGAAGGCCUUCGGGUUGUAAACCGCUUUUGUCAGGGAAGAAAAGGCGCAGUCUAAUACGUUGCGACAAUGACGGUACCUGAAGAAUAAGCACCGGCUAACUACGUGCCAGCAGCCGCGGUAAUCCG